rnacentral:rRNA from 1 species
GACGAACGCUGGCGGCGUGCUUAACACAUGCAAGUCGAACGGUGAAGCGAGUGCUUGCACUCGUGGAUCAGUGGCGAACGGGUGAGUAACACGUGAGUAACCUGCCCAUCACUCUGGGAUAAGCACUGGAAACGGUGUCUAAUACUGGAUACGACCAACCCUUGCAUGGGGUGUUGGUGGAAAGAUUUAUCGGUGAUGGAUGGACUCGCGGCCUAUCAGCUUGUUGGCGGGGUAAUGGCCCACCAAGGCGACGACGGGUAGCCGGCCUGAGAGGGUGACCGGCCACACUGGGACCGAGACACGGCCCAGACUCCUACGGGAGGCAGCAGUGGGGAAUAUUGCACAAUGGGCGAAAGCCUGAUGCAGCGACGCCGCGUGAGGGAUGACGGCCUUCGGGUUGUAAACCUCUUUCAGCAGGGAAGAAGCGAAAGUGACGGUACCUGCAGAAGAAGCACCGGCUAACUACGUG